AUUGGUUAUUGCCGUCACCCACUCACAAGUGGGCUCUGAUGCAUUGUGGGUAGUCAGCUCCAUCUCUAGGGCAUGCGGUGCGUUGAGGAGACAUGACCACAGCCAUACCAUCGCCACGUAGAGGUAAUACCGUGCAUUUGGUCGAUGUCUUCGGUGUGGGCGCGCGUCGAUUAUGGCAUUUACUUCGUUGCUCUCAAAACAAAGCAAAUCGAGUCCCUAUGAGUAGAAGUUACAAGUCCAUUCCGGUCCACUAAACGUUUGCCCAAUCACGCGAGAGGAUUAGAACGGGUUCGUUGACGGGCACUCUAGAAGAGAAGUGUCAACAACCGCUAAACGCAACGAGGGAAACAGGAAAAUGCUCACGAGAGCAUCAAGUGAAAGACUGGAAUAAGCCGAGAAGUCAGACGGACUCGACCAAGUGACAUUUGAGAUGAUUUUUCCGUACUGCAGGCUUUAUAUACAUUUACGACUCUUCAGUUGAAUGGAGAACCUGCAGGAACCUAUAUCUGCGCACCAAGAAACUAGGGUAAACACUAACUGUUUACACACAUUAGGCACGGAAAAGACAUGAUCCAUUCAAAAGCUUUUAAACGCAUUAGUCGUGUCGUACAGAGAAGGCCAUAAUAUAUAUACGUCGUUCUGCGAGCGGUAUGGUUUCUUUUAUAGUGCGGCUCGCGUUUUUAAUUAAAUGAGUUUUCAAGAAUUUUACCACCCGUAUUUGGAAGUCAGAUGCUAAAUUGACAACCAGUCAAUUAUUAACUGAUAAAAGAAAAUACACAAGCAAUUUAAAAUAUUAUUGAAAAGAAAAAUAAAAUUAAAGGGGA